UACGAAGGGGGCGAGCGUUGUUCGGAUUUACUGGGCGUAAAGGGCGCGCAGGCGGCGCAUUUUGUCAGGCGUGAAAGCCCCGGGCUUAACCUGGGAACUGCGUUUGAUACGGAUGGGCUAGAGUUCGGGAGAGGAGAGUGGAAUUCCCAGUGUAGAGGUGAAAUUCGUAGAUAUUGGGAAGAACACCGGUGGCGAAGGCGGCUCACUGGUCCGGUACUGACGCUGAGGUGCGAAAGCGUGGGGAGCAAACAGG
rnacentral:rRNA from 1 species